rnacentral:rRNA from 1 species
AACGAACGCUGGCGGCGUGCCUAACACAUGCAAGUCGAACGAGAAAGUGGGGGCAACCCUGCGAGUACAGUGGCAGACGGGUGAGUAACACGUGAACAACCUACCCUUGAGUGGGGAAUAACACCGCGAAAGCGGUGCUAAAACCGCAUAAAAUCCUUUUAUCGCAUGGUGAAGGGAUCAAAAGCGCAAGUUGCUUGAGGAGGGGUUCGCGGCUGAUUAGCUAGUUGGUGAGGUAACGGCCCACCAAGGCAACGAUCAGUAGCCGGCCUGAGAGGGCGAACGGCCACACUGGAACUGAGACACGGUCCAGACUCCUACGGGAGGCAGCAGUGGGGAAUUUUGCGCAAUGGGCGAAAGCCUGACGCAGCAACGCCGCGUGGAGGAUGAAGGCCUUCGGGUCGUAAACUCCUGUCGAUGGGGACGAAAGCCUAGCAAUAGGAUUGACUGUACCCGUUGAGGAAGCCACGGCUAACUCCGUGCCAGC